CUGAACUUCACUCGAAGAAUUAAUUUCAGAUAGUGUUUUUGUUUCAUUGAUAAGUACGUUUCCGAUACUGCAUUAACGACAACAAUGCUGCGUGAUAUUAAAUAAAAGUAGCAAAACAAGGUUUAAAAAUAUGUAAGUUGAAUUAGAAUAGUAUGGGAAGAAAGAAAGGAAGGGGUCCUAUUUGAGAUGUUUGUGGUACGUGAGCCAUAUAGCUUGCGGUACUUUAACGCUCGUAAGAGCUCAUUAUUGUAUUUUGGAUGUGUCGGUUUCCGUUCGGUUACGUACUUCCGCUAACGAUUUUCCUUAACUACCACGUUCAUCGAAAACCUCGAAAAGUUUGAAUAUUUAAUGCUAUGAUUUCUUCACUGACGUGUUAUUAGGAAAAUUUAGCAAAUAUAUUAUUCUUUAAUAGAAUACCAUAGAUUAUACAUAUAUUAUGAUAAUGUCCCAAUCUAUAAUUAAAAUUAUCUUAAUGGAACUGGGUGUGUCUGUAUUUUUUUUGAUACACUCUGAAAUGAAAUAUGCUGGCGAUAAACGAGGUAUCAAUUAUCGUUAAAAAAUUACAGCUAUAUAUUAUUACUAACUGAUUCAUUGUUAACCACAUUCACGGUAUAGACCGAACGCUUUAAAAACAAUUAUGUAUGGCGGGGCAUCAGGGUGUUUUUUGCAUUUCCUUAUAAACGGUAUGAAAUAUCGACAACGUGAGCGGCGGCGCUUCAACGAGCCUUCGAAAUAUUUAAUGAAGGUCGCCUCGUUUGAUACGUUUCGGAAUAAAAGUUUCAAGAAAACCGCAGCAUGAUUCUUAGACCCAAUUUCGCAACUAUUAUGCAACGCGUGUGUAUGUACAUAUGUAUUUACAAGAAACUGCUGUUUCGGGUUAAUCUUUCGGCCAAUUUAUUUGGAAAGAAGGCAAGGGCAAAGGCGGAUUUCUUUGCGAAAGGUCAGCUAGAUAAUUAUUUUAGAACGACAGGAACAGGUCUAGUGAUUCUUUCUUCUCCUUUCCUUUUUUUAUUUUCUGAGCGCGAUCUAUCGCGCACGGGAUAUACAGGAAACUUCAAGUGCUUCUCUAGAUCGAAAACGGUGUAAAAUUGUUUCUACCUUCGCUCGUAGAUUAUUUAAAGACUUAUCGAUCACCGUCUCUUUUGAUUUAUAAUGAUCGAAUCAUCUCUUGAUGAGCUGUCUUUUAUUCGUGACAAGAGAAACUAAUUAAUGCUAAAGAUAGAUAACCGAAAGUAUUUUCUUUUUCGGUACGGUCACAACCAAGAUAUUUUUAUACUCUUGACAUUAUACUUAGUCGCGCAAAAAGUAAAAUGGUUGAACAAAUAUCUUAAAUACCUACAUACUCUUAUGAAAACAAGUCUAGAACAUAUUAGGUCUAUCGAAAAAUUCUGUCCGUUUUUGAAUUAAAAGAAAAUAAUACAUUUCAAAACUUGAUUGAUCACAGAUUUGACUCAGAAAUAGUUUCAUCUACGUCAAUACGUAUCUUGGACACUUCAUAUUAUUGUAAAUUAAUGGAAUAUUGUUAAAUUGUGUUUGAUUUAAACUAUACGCUCUUCCGAUCCAUCAGCG